UACGAAGGGGGCUAGCGUUGUUCGGAAUUACUGGGCGUAAAGGGCGCGUAGGCGGACAGUUAAGUUGGGGGUGAAAGCCCGGGGCUCAACCUCGGAAUUGCCUUCAAUACUGGCUGUCUUGAGUUCGGGAGAGGUGAGUGGAAUGCCGAGUGUAGAGGUGAAAUUCGUAGAUAUUCGGCGGAACACCAGUGGCGAAGGCGACUCACUGGCCCGAUACUGACGCUGAGGCGCGAAAAGCGUGGGGAGCAAACAGG
rnacentral:rRNA from 1 species